GUCAGUCCCUUUGUAAAAACAUGAUUUGGAGAGAGUGGUAUAAACACAUAAAAAACACAAGCAUUUCAAUAUUGGUUAUUUUCCUCUUUAUUUUGAUUUUAUUUUGAGGAGGCUGGAGAAUGAAAUAACGUCUUCGGAAACAGCUUAAACAAGUCAGUUCAAGACAAUCUCUGGCUCUUUCUGAAGGCAACAUUAUAAGGCUUCAAAAAUAGCACAGUGAGCCAAGAGAAACUGCAAAGACACCGCUGUGGGAUGGUGAUUUGGAUAUAAAAUUCUCUGAGCCAGGGUGUGAUAAGCUGUUGGACCAUCUUAGACAACCAUCUAGACCCUGGAGCCAUUGUAGUUUGGGUAUACAAUCCAAUCCUGGAUAUUGUUUUAUGCUGACCCUUUUGAAAAGUUUUGGCUCAAAAAUGACACAUGUACCAUCCAUAGCAUUGCAAUGACAAGAACAAGUUAGAAGGACACAGCCAAAUGUAAGCAGAAC
rnacentral:lncRNA from 1 species